GACGAACGCUGGCGGCGUGCUUAACACAUGCAAGUCGAACGGAAAGGCCCUGCUUUUGUGGGGUGCUCGAGUGGCGAACGGGUGAGUAACACGUGAGUAACCUGCCCUUGACUUUGGGAUAACUUCAGGUAACUGGGGCUAAUACCGGAUAGGAGCUCCUGCUGCAUGGUGGGGGUUGGAAAGUUUAGGCGGGUGGGGAUGGACUCGCGGCUUAUCAGCUUGUUGGUGGGGUAGUGGCUUACCAAGGCUUUGGCGGGUAGCCGGCCUGAGAGGGUGACCGGCCACAUUGGGACUGAGAUACGGCCCAGACUCCUACGGGAGGCAGCAGUGGGGAAUAUUGCACAAUGGGCGGAAGCCUGAUGCAGCAACGCCGCGUGCGGGAUGACGGCCUUCGGGUUGUAAACCGCUUUCGCCUGUGACGAAGCGUGAGUGACGGUAAUGGGUAAAGAAGCACCGGCUAACUACGUG
rnacentral:rRNA from 1 species